AGCGUUGGAAACGACGUCUAAUACCGGAUACGAGCUUCCACCGCAUGGUGAGUUGCUGGAAAGAAUUUUGGUCAAGGAUGGACUCGCGGCCUAUCAGCUUGUUGGUGAGGUAAUGGCUCACCAAGGCGACGACGGGUAGCCGGCCUGAGAGGGUGACCGGCCACACUGGGACUGAGACACGGCCCAGACUCCUACGGGAGGCAGCAGUGGGGAAUAUUGCACAAUGGGCGAAAGCCUGAUGCAGCAACGCCGCGUGAGGGACGACGGCCUUCGGGUUGUAAACCUCUUUUAGCAGGGAAGAAGCGAAAGUGACGGUACCUGCAGAAAAAGCACCGGCUAACUACGUGCCAGCAGCCGCGGUAAUACGUAGGGUGCAAGCGUUGUCCGGAAUUAUUGGGCGUAAAGAGCUCGUAGGCGGUUUGUCGCGUCUGCUGUGAAAUCCCGAGGCUCAACCUCGGGUCUGCAGUGGGUACGGGCAGACUAGAGUGCGGUAGGGGAGA
rnacentral:rRNA from 1 species